CAGUCGCCACGGGAAUACGUAGGGUGCGAGCGUUAAUCGGAAUUACUGGGCGUAAAGCGAGCGCAGACGGUUUGUUUAGCAGGAUGUGAAAUCCCCGGGCUCAACCUGGGAACUGCGUUCUGAACUGGCAGGCUAGAGUGUGUCAGAGGGGGGUAGAAUUCCACGUGUAGCAGUGAAAUGCGUAGAGAUGUGGAGGAAUACCGAUGGCGAAGGCAGCCCCCUGGGAUAACACUGACGUUCAUGCUCGAAAGCGUGGGUAGCAAACAGGAUUAGAUACCCCCGUAGUCCCUGUCUCUUAUAA
rnacentral:rRNA from 1 species